rnacentral:rRNA from 1 species
CAAUAGCGUAUAUUAAAGUUGUUGCGGUUAAAAAGCUCGUAGUUGGAUUUCUGCCGAGGACGACCGGUCCGCCCUCUGGGUGAGUAUCUGGCUCGGCCUGGGCAUCUUCUUGGAGAACGUAGCUGCACUUGACUGUGUGGUGCGGUAUCCAGGACUUUUACUUUGAGGAAAUUAGAGUGUUUCAAGCAGGCUUACGCCUUGAAUACAUUAGCAUGGAAUAAUAAGAUAGGACCUCGGUUCUAUUUUGUUGGUUUCUAGAGCUGAGGUAAUGAUUAAUAGGGAUAGUUGGGGGCAUUCGUAUUUAACUGUCAGAGGUGAAAUUCUUGGAUUUGUUAAAGACAGACUACUGCGAAAGCAUUUGCCAAGGAUGUUUUCAUUGA